rnacentral:rRNA from 1 species
UGACGGUACCUGACUAAGAAGCUCCGGCUAAAUACGUGCCAGCAGCCGCGGUAAUACGUAUGGAGCAAGCGUUAUCCGGAUUUACUGGGUGUAAAGGGAGCGUAGACGGAAUUGCAAGUCUGAUGUGAAAGGCAUGGGCUCAACCUGUGGACUGCAUUGGAAACUGUGAUUCUUGAGUGCCGGAGGGGUAAGCGGAAUUCCUGGUGUAGCGGUGAAAUGCGUAGAUAUCAGGAGGAACACCGGUGGCGAAGGCGGCUUACUGGACGGCAACUGACGUUGAGGCUCGAAGGCGUGGGGAGCAAACAGGAUUAGAUACCCUG